rnacentral:rRNA from 1 species
UACGGGGGGAGCAAGCGUUGUUCGGAUUUACUGGGCGUAAAGGGCGCGUAGGCGGCGUGACAAGUCACUUGUGAAAUCUCCGGGCUUAACUCGGAACGGUCAAGUGAUACUGUCGUGCUAGAGUACAGAAGGGGCAACUGGAAUUCUCGGUGUAGCGGUGAAAUGCGUAGAUAUUGGGAAGAACACCUGAGGCGAAGGCGGGUUGCUGGGCUGAUACUGACGCUGAGGCGCGAAAGCCAGGGGAGCAAACGGG